rnacentral:pre_miRNA from 1 species
GCCGUCUCCUUGUUUCACCCGGUAUAUAUAUAUAUAUAUAUAUAUAUAUAUAUAUAUAUAUAUAUAUAUACAGGGUGAAACAAGGAGACGGC